UUUAGAGUUUGGUUCUUGGGUUAAGGAAGAACGGUUACGGGAGGGUUUAAACACAUGCAAGUUGGAAGGGGGUAAACAGAAGGUAGCAAAUUCUUGUUGAGGACGGGCGUCGGGGUGAGUUAACGCGUAUGCAACCUGCCCUAUACAGGAGGAUAGCCCGAAGAAAAUUCGGAUUAAUAUUCCAUGCAGCAUAUUUUUCGCAUGAUAAAUAUGUUAAAGAUUUAUCGGUAUAGGAUGGGCAUGCGUCCCAUUAGUUAGUUGGUGAGGUAAUGGCUCACCAAGGCUUCGAUGGGUAUGGGGUCUAAAAGGAUGGUCCCACACACUGGCACUGAGACACGGGCCAGACUCCUACGGGAGGCAGCAGUGAGGAAUAUUGGUCAAUGGGCGAGAGCCUGAACCAGCCAUCCCGCGUGCAGGAUGACAGUCCUAGUGAUUGUAAACUGCUUUUCUAUAAGAUGAAUAAGGACUACGUGUAGUUCGAUGACCGUAUUAUAGGAAUAAGCAUCGGCUAACUCCGUGCCAGCAGCCGCGGUAAUACGGAGGAUGCAAGCGUUAUCCGGAUUUAUUAGGUUUAAAGGGUGCGUAGGUGGGCGUUUAAGUCAGUGGUUAAAGCCAAUAGCUUAACUAUUGUAUGCCAUUGAAACUGGAUGUCUUGAAUAGGGUAGAGGUAGGCGGAAUGUGUUGUGUAGCGGUGAAAUGCUUAGAUAUAACACAGAACACCGAUUGCGAAGGCAGCUUACUAUGCCUUUAUUGACACUGAUGCACGAAAGCGUGGGGAUCAAACAGGAUUAGAUACCCUGGUAGUCCACGCUGUAAACGAUGAUCACUCGUUUUUGGCAAUACAUCGUCAGAGACUAAGCGAAAGCAUUA
rnacentral:rRNA from 1 species